UACAGAGGAGCCAAGCGUUGUCCGGAUUGACUGGGCGUAAAGCGCACGCAGGCGGCCGCGCGCGUGGGGUGUGAAAUCUGGGCGCUUAACGGCCAGGCGCCAUCCCAUACGGCGCGGCUGGAGCCAUGCAGAGGGCGGUGGAAUUGCCGGUGUAGUGGUGAAAUGCGUAGAGAUCGGCAGGAACACCCAGGGGGAAACCAGCCGCCUGGGCAUGCGCUGACGCUGAGGUGCGAGAGCGUGGGGAGCGAACAGG
rnacentral:rRNA from 1 species